GAUGAACGCUGGCGGCGUGCCUAAUACAUGCAAGUCGAGCGAACCACUUCGGUGGUGAGCGGCGAACGGGUGAGUAACACGUAGGUGAUCUGCCCAUCAGACGGGGACAACGAUUGGAAACGAUCGCUAAUACCGGAUAGGACGAAAGUUUAAAGGUGCUUCUGGCACCGCUGAUGGAUGAGCCUGCGGCGCAUUUGCUAGUUGGUAGGGUAAAAGCCUACCAAGGCGACGAUGCGUAGCCGACCUGAGAGGGUGAACGGCCACGCUGGGACUGAGACACGGCCCAGACUCCUACGGGAGGCAGCAGUAGGGAAUCUUCGGCAAUGGGCGAAAGCCUGACCGAGCAACGCCGCGUGAAUGAUGAAGGCCUUCGGGUUGUAAAAUUCUGUUAUAAGGGAAGAACGACUUUAGUAGGAAAUGGCUAGAGUGUGACGGUACCUUAUGAGAAAGCCACGGCUAACUACGUGCCAGCCGCCGCAGUAA
rnacentral:rRNA from 1 species